rnacentral:lncRNA from 13 species
UGUGUGUGUGUCCUGUGUUCCCAGGGGUAAAGGACCGUUGGAGAGGUGUGUGUGUGUGUGUGAACAGCAGACUGAUGUGUGUGUCCGUCCUGUGUUCCCAGGGGUAAAGGACCGUUGGAGAGGUGUGUGUGUGUGUGUGUGUGUACAGCAGACUGAUGUGUGUGUCCUGUGUUCCCAGGGGUAAAGGACCGUUGAAGAAUACCUCUGAUGUCAUCAGUGCUGCUAAGAAGAUUGCUGAGGCUGGAUCCAGGAUGGAUAAACUGGGCCGGACCAUCGCAGACCAGGACUGGAGUAUGAUGCAGAUGGCCAUUUUGCUUCUCUUCACGAACAUUGGAAUGUUUAUGGGUCUGAAUAAAUAAUUGGUUUGGAUUAGGCCAGGGAGGCGGAGCCCUGUUGCCUGGGCAACACAGGGCCUCCAUACACCUUGCCCCUGCUUUUUUGUGCUGUGUAGAUACAACACGGGGAGGUUAAGCAGUUAUCUGUUAUUUAAAGCCCUUUCUCAAUUGGCGUGGAGAUGAGCGCCAGCCCCUUCCACAGUGGUAGUAGAGAUGCCUGACAAUCUACAAGGAAUGAAGAGACCACCGUCAUAAACAAUCAACUCAAGAAACGACAAAUCCACAUUUCCACCGUAAAACCCAACUCCACUCAUCAGGCUCCCUGGGAGGAAAAGGACUACAUCUUUUUCUGGGACUAUGGAUUAGGUUUUGCUGUGCCGAGCAGUAGUACCACUCACCGACGUCUCGGAGAGAAUCCUAGCCCUGUGUCUGAACACGGGUGGAUCCUGUCCACCUCGUGAGUGUGUACUCAGAUUCCUUCAAGAAGCAAAAGACAGGUGGUUUAAGGCUGAGCGUCAGCCCGGUUGUGUAAGGCGACCAUAGACAUCCCUGAAUAAGAACACUUCUACCCGCUUGGCGACUUGAAGACUCGUGGGAUUGACAAACGGAAAAGAACGGGCAGCAUCUCCUCGAGUUCUGCACAUGCCACGACCUACGCAUCACUCGUACUUUCAGACCAAACCCCACCACAACUUCUCCUGGAGCCCACUGGUCUCCCACGACCAGGUCAAUGGCACCAGCUGGAUCUGAUCCUUACACGACGAGCCGAUCUUGUGGUACCCUUCGAACCUGCAGUACCGAUCUUGUGGUACCCUUCGAACCUGCAGUACCGAUCUUGUGGUACCCUUCGAACCUGCAGUACCGAUCUUGUGGUACCCUUUGAACCUGCAGUACCGAUCUUGUGGUACCCUUCGAACCUGCAGUACUGCGCUGUGAAUACCCAACUGCGCUGACUCCCUCGUGUGCUGUAGAUUCUACAGACACACAAGAUACCCAGAGUCGAACCGAAAAAGAGCCCCACGCAUCGACAGCAGCGAAUCAGCUGACCGAGCAAAACACUGCAACCUUCCCCUGUGCUCUAGAGGAAUCCUUGACCAA